CCUACGGGAGGCUGCAGUGGGGAAUAUUGCACAAUGGGCGAAAGCCUGAUGCAGCGACGCCGCGUGGAGGAUGAAGGCCUUCGGGUCGUAAACUCCUGUCUGGGGGGAUGAACACUGACAGUACCCCCGGAGGAAGCCCCGGCUAACUACGUGCCAGCAGCCGCGGUAAUACGUAGGGGGCGAGCGUUGUCCGGAAUUACUGGGCGUAAAGCGCGCGCAGGCGGCUUGUUAAGUCAGGUGUCAAAAUGCGGGGCUCAACCCCGUAUCGCACUUGAAACUGGCAGGCUUGAGUGCAGGAGAGGGAAGUGGAAUUCCUAGUGUAGCGGUGAAAUGCGUAGAUAUUAGGAGGAACACCAGUGGCGAAGGCGACUUCCUGGACUGUAACUGACGCUCAGGCGCGAAAGCUAGGGGAGCAAACAGGAUUAGAUACCCCUGUAGUC
rnacentral:rRNA from 1 species